rnacentral:lncRNA from 1 species
GUAGUGGAGAGGGUUGCAUUUUAAUUGCACGGGUUUCCUGAAUCCCAUGCAAAUUGUGAACUCUUUAGCAAUUAAGGAGGCUUGUUUUCUAAGAGAAAUAUGGAGGUCUGGGGAGACUGAUGUCAGUUCUGGCCCAGUUAAGCUCCUUUGUUAUACCUAUAACACCAAGAAUCUCUCCUUCCUCCCCAAGGAUGAAGAGUGAUCUGAGAGAUGGGAAACAUGAAGACUGCACUGGAGCCAUCGGUCCUCCCUGCUGAAGUGUAACAGAGCGAGGAACUUCGCUGAUGAGCCUGAACAACUUUAACAAGGACACAUGCGAAGAGAAAUGGUGGAGUGAAACACGGAGUCCGGGGCUCGCCUGGAUAUUGAGCUAAUCCAGGGAAUGCCCAGUUAUGCCAAGUUCUGUAUCUCUAUGGACCAAGCUCUGGUUAUACCUGACACUUUCCCUGGCAAACCUACAAAUGGUCUCCAAAGUUUGAAGAGGAAUUUUACUAAGAAUAUAGCUAAACAAAAUAAUUCAAUCAAGACGUUGACGAGGGCUUCCUGGGAAAGAUGCCUGUUAUGUAAGACUGUUCCAGACCACAGCGACUGAAGAUGUUCAAGGAAUGCAGGACACACUGAAUGGAUCCAUUAUGGAAAAACUUUCAGUAUCCUCAUGGGCAACAUCUCCAAGCACCCAGACUUUAGUCAGCCAUGGUGGAAGUCAAAGAAAAUGCUUCAAGGCUAGAACUGCCAAGACAAACCAUUCAAUUUUAUUUCUCCUCUCAGUGGUAAAAAUAUGUAAUCAGUAUGAAUUAUUCCGUAACAUUUGGGUAUGUAAAUAUAUUUUUCUAAAUAAAAUUAAAUCUGAUAUGGACUCCAUCUUCCUGGCCUUUGGAAUUUCUCAGGCACAGAUUUUUAUUUUUCUUUCUUUCCUUUGAGGGGUGAGGUUCUCUCUUGGGUUCUUAUAAAAACUCCAAGGCCUCUUGAAUUUAUUAGAGUGUAAGUUAGGCUAAAGUAACA